UACGUAGGGUGCGAGCGUUGUCCGGAUUUAUUGGGCGUAAAGAGCUCGUAGGCGGUUUGUCGCGUCGGCCGUGAAAUCUCCACGCUUAACGUGGAGCGUGCGGUCGAUACGGGCAGACUUGAGUUCGGUAGGGGAGACUGGAAUUCCCGGUGUAGCGGUGAAAUGCGCAGAUAUCGGGAGGAACACCGGUGGCGAAGGCGGUUCUCUGGGCCUGUACUGACGCUGAGGAGCGAAAGCGUGGGGAGCGAACAGG
rnacentral:rRNA from 1 species